GGGGCAACCUACCUUAUAGUUUGGGAUAACUCCGGGAAACCGGGGCUAAUACCGAAUAAUCUGUUUCACCUCAUGGUGAAACACUGAAAGACGGUUUCGGCUGUCGCUAUAGGAUGGGCCCGCGGCGCAUUAGCUAGUUGGUGAGGUAACGGCUCACCAAGGCGACGAUGCGUAGCCGACCUGAGAGGGUGAUCGGCCACACUGGGACUGAGACACGGCCCAGACUCCUACGGGAGGCAGCAGUAGGGAAUCUUCCACAAUGGGCGAAAGCCUGAUGGAGCAACGCCGCGUGAGUGAAGAAGGAUUUCGGUUCGUAAAACUCUGUUGUAAGGGAAGAACAAGUACAGUAGUAACUGGCUGUACCUUGACGGUACCUUAUUAGAAAGCCACGGCUAACUACGUGCCAGCAGCCGCGGUAAUACGUAGGUGGCAAGCGUUGUCCGGAAUUAUUGGGCGUAAAGCGCGCGCAGGUGGUUUCUUAAGUCUGAUGUGAAAGCCCACGGCUCAACCGUGGAGGGUCAUUGGAAACUGGGAGACUUGAGUGCAGAAGAGGAUAGUGGAAUUCCAAGUGUAGCGGUGAAAUGCGUAGAGAUUUGGAGGAACACCAGUGGCGAAGGCGACUAUCUGGUCUGUAACUGACACUGAGGCGCGAAAGCGUGGGGAGCAAACAGGAUUAGAUACCCUGGUAGUCCACGCCGUAAACGAUGAGUGCUAAGUGUUAAGGGGGUUUCCGCCCCUUAGUGCUGCAGCUAACGCAUUAAGCACUCCGCCUGGGGAGUACGGUCGCAAGACUGAAACUCAAAGGAAUUGACGGGGGCCCGCACAAGGCGGUGGAGCAUGUGGUUUAAUUCGAAGCAACGCGAAGAACCUUACCAGGUCUUGACAUCCCGUUGACCACUGUAGAGAUAUGGUUUCCCCUUCGGGGGCAACGGUGACAGGUGGUGCAUGGUUGUCGUCAGCUCGUGUCGUGAGAUGUUGGGUUAAGUCCCGCAACGAGCGCAACCCUUGAUCUUAGUUGCCAUCAUUUAGUUGGGCACUCUAAGGUGACUGCCGGUGACAAACCGGAGGAAGGUGGGGAUGACGUCAAAUCAUCAUGCCCCUUAUGACCUGGGCUACACACGUGCUACAAUGGACGAUACAAACGGUUGCCAACUCGCGAGAGGGAGCUAAUCCGAUAAAGUCGUUCUCAGUUCGGAUUGUAGGCUGCAACUCGCCUACAUGAAGCCGGAAUCGCUAGUAAUCGCGGAUCAGCAUGCCGCGGUGAAUAGCGUUCCCGGGCCUUGUA
rnacentral:rRNA from 1 species